rnacentral:lncRNA from 1 species
UAAAAAAAAAGUUGUCCUGCUUUUUUUUCUCUUAUUAUUUAUUGAGUGACAGUUUAAGUGUAUCUGAUGUCCCUGUGUGUGUCUCUGAGUGUACCUGUAUGUGUGUGGGGGGGGUAUGCGUGUGUGCAUGGUGUGUGUGUAUGUUAAAACCCUUCACUCUGCUUCUUAGCAUCAGCUGUCAGGCAGUCUCCAAAGGUCAAGUUGAGAAAAGUGGCUCUGGAGCAGAGAGACGAUGCUUCUAUUGCCAGCACAAGGAGCAAAACUUGUAAGUAAAAGUUUGCCUGACCCUGAUGAGAAGACAUACAAAAGAACAGUGACCGUGACCCCUUAUUGUGUGCCAUUGCCUCCCAGCUUGUACAGAUCUUCCGGUUCUUGACUGCCAGCGGGAGAUGCAUAAUGACGUAGUCUCUGUCCUCUGCCAGCGGAGGAAUGGUAUGUGGUUGUGUGUGUUGGUUCUCUGUAUGUAGGCCUUGUAUUUGCCUUUGUGGCCUCUAAAUGCACAGCUCACUGAACUCCGUCUUCCCGGUGCUGGUGGGAACAGCAGGAGUUUCUUUUGACUUGUCAGCCAGCCAGGAAGGAUGGGUGGGGAAACUAUAUGAAAGAGGAUUGAGAAUUUCCAAAUUUCAGUCAAGCUUAGAAAUUAUAAGUCAUCUUUGUAUUCUUAUAGUGUCAAUUUAAUUCCUAAAUUGUUGACCUUCCAGAACUGAUAGCAGUUGGGAAGAUAGCAAUACACAAAUGGAACAUGCACAUGUUAAUGUUAAAUACAUUUGACAGAGCCAAGAUGACAGGAACGGUGCCAGCAUUGUUACUGGAUUAAUGAGCAGAAGCAUAUUUGUCUCCAGAAUAAUCCCCCUAGUGACCCAGAAAUCUUUUACUUCCUGCUAUACUGAAAUACUUUCGUGUUACUAUACCAGUCAACCAAGUACAUUAAAGCUGUGCCUAAAUUAUAAUAUCUCACUAUAAAUAUACUAUUAUUGUUUCAGGCUUUUCCCGUUGGCUUGGCUUCCUCUGUCACCUCCAGAAAGUAGAGAAUCCACAGGUUUCCUCACUCUUGAUCUAGAGAAGAUGAAGGAAUGGCCCCCACCACAGUGUGCUCUGGAGAUCAUCAAUCAAAAGGUGUUUCAGAGUCUCCUAAUUGGAAGGUAUUACUUCCAUUUUUAAUACUUUAGUCGUGUUGAAACAUUGCCUUAAAAUCUCUUAACUCCUCCAAGGACGGUGGGUCUCACAGAGCUGGCACCCAGUAGUAUCUGGCCCAUAUUUAGGAUAACAAGUGAAUCGCCUCCCACCCAGGGCAACUCAGUUGCUUUUAUACUAUGAUCUUUUCCUUUCAUGGCUGUUUGUAUCCAGUGCUGCCUUUUUUUGUAUUUAAUACUUUUUGCAUGCCUUCCAUGAACUUUGAACUGCAGGGAAUAUAAAUUUUGCAUAUUAUAGUAUCUUACAUUUCCCUAGCUGUUUAUACUUUUCUAAUGCUAUUUUCUAUCUUUCCUUUUUGGCUUAUUUCCUGACCUCAGUGCAUUUGUACUCUGUUUUUCUCUGUCCUGAGGUAGUACUCUCUCCUUACAUUUACACUCUUUACUCUGUUUCUUAUGACCAUUUUUUUCUUAUAAUAAUACUGACUCUCAAUCCAAUUUAUCUCUAACUUAAUCAGGAUGGUUCUAUUUGAAUAACUUUAGGGCUUUGGAGACAACGUUCUCUACCAUACAGAGUGAUUUAAGCUUCUCUGAAGAGACAGAUGUGGCAUGUUUUAUUCUGUAAUAAUGUGCCCUAAGAAAGAUUGCUUUGUCAAAAAUCAAGAUUUAAAAGCAUUUGUUUCAGUGGGAAAGAAAGAGACUAGUGGUGCUAAAGAAUGCCUUCAUCAAUCUUAUCACCUAUGUCACGCCUUGGGACAGAGUCACAAUAAUAGUAGUAGAUAGAAGAAUCGAGGCCCGCUGAGGGACCACCCACCCAGGCAGUGGAGUAGCAGGUGCCUGGGCUGCUGGGUCAGCAGCUUUUGUGCUAAGUGCAGUGCUGGAUCCCAGCCCAGUAGAGGCCUGUGUGAUGCAAAGCACUUCCCUAAUGGAUCAAUGACAUUAUAUCUAAAUGGCUCAAAGAAAAUUCAAAAUAUAUGUAAAAUGCCUGUGUUCACAUGUAGAGAUAGAAAAAUGCAACUAGCUUGUGGUUAAAUAGCAAAUCUGUGACAGUUAAAAUUAGGCCAAGUAAUGAGUAAUGAUGAUUUUCACUAGUUUAAAGAUAAAAUUCAGAAGGCUUGAGCUCAGCAAAAAAAAGAGAUUAUGUUUUCCUCAUUCUCCUAUCUUGAUGAACACACUUGGCACAAUCUUUUGGAAAAGGCUGGGUAUUUAGAGGAACAUUUUCGUCUGUGACCAGCACUAUUCAUGAUUAUUUAUAGGAGCUGAGGAAUUUACCGUGAGUGUACGUUUUCACUUUUUAUUUAAUUCAUUGCACCCACCCAAGUUAAUGCAAAACCCACUGUCAGAGGGACCAGCAGUAUAUUUGUGGGACUACACCCUCAUCCGAGGCUUAAUUUUAAUUAAAAGUAAAUAUUUGCAAUAAUGGUUUUGUUCACCACUGGUUGAAAGAAACUUGCUUGAGGUUUUGGUUUUCACCCUGUCUACCUCCUGUCUGAUGUUUUGUUUCCCUUCUGAGAGGUUCAGAUUCCAAGUCAAUAAUUAGCCAGCACAUAGUUCUAAGGUACAAUUAGGUCAAACUCCAGAUAUAACCGAAGUUCAGGCUUAUUUAAGUUUAUGAAAUGAUAGCCAAGCACAUUUCUCAGUGGGAGAAAAGUUUGUUUUCAUAAACAAGCGUUUCACUAUUUCACAUUUUGUUCAGUGCUGAGUCACCUGUAUUUCGUAUUUAAGGGCCUUUAUCAUCUUAAUCAGCUCUAGAACUUAGUUGUUCAACUUUAGCUGUGACUCUUGAAGGCAAAAGAAAAGCGAAGGAAGUGACUCUUCUCCCUGCCCACCCUCCCACCUGUGACGUAGUCUUCAGACUCAGCAUUGGCAAAGUCACUCCGUAAAGUCUCUCUCCUCUCAGGUACACCCUGAAGGUACACACUGAAGACUCACUUCAGUGCUGGCCUGUUUUGGGAGUGUACAGGACAGGUGGAACAACAAACAAAUGCAAAGAUGGAGGAAAAUCCAGGAUGCGAAGACUGCUCCCCACACUCAAAAGUGAAGUCAUUAGUGAGUCCUUUAAAUGCUUAUUUGACACAAUACUGGGAUUUUGUUAGUGACCCCAAAUUUGAGUGUGGUUGGAGGAAUGAUUUUUUUAAAAUAAAUUUAUUUAUUUUAUUUUUGGCUGCACUGGGUGUUUGCUGCUUUCUCUAGUUGCGGUGAGCGGGGGCUACUCUUCAUUGCGGUGCACGGGCUUCUCAUCAUGGUGGCCUCUCUUGUUGCGGAGCACGGACUCUAGGCACGUGGGCUUCAGUAGUUGCAGCAUGCGGGCUCAGUAGUUGUGGUGCGCGGGCUCUAGAGUGCGGGCUAAGUAGUUAUGGCGCACGGUCUUAGUUAUUCCAAGGCAUGUGGCAUCUUCCCGGACCAGGGAUCGAACCCAUGUCCCCUGCAUUGGCAGGCGGAUACUUAACCACUGCACCACCAGGGAAGUCCUAGACAAGAUUUAAUGUCUUAUUACUUUCAGUAUGAAUAGGAAUUUAAAUGUCUGGUUAAGAGUAGUACCAGUUGAGAUCCUGCAAUUCGUGCUUUAAUGGAUAGAUAUGUUUAAUUUAAAAUUAAUAUCUGUUUGCAUAGUAAGGUAUGCCACUGUCCUUUAAAAAUCUCUUAGCUUAAACAUGCACCAUACAAUAUCUACUGUUGUAAUAUACUUUUUAAAAUUCAUUGAUAGUAUAAAAUUCAUCUCACUAAAAUGAUGACAAAAUCAGAAUAUCAUUAGACACCAAAUUUGAAUGUUUCCUUAAGUAAAUUUCAAAUUAGAGCUUAAGUGAAUGCGAUGGCCUCUGUGCAGAAGAGAGUUAACAUAGCAGGCCUGAGACUGCCAUCUUUAGAAAGACUUUCUUGCAGGGUUAGCCCUUAGGAAACUCAGCUUCUCAGAAGUUCCCCAAGCUGAUAAAGGCUGAGGCACCAGACUCUGCUCUGUCAGGUCACGUAGAUUGUUUGUGCAAAUGAUGUAAUUUAUGGCAAACACCUGAUUUCCUUCUGGGGCUCGUGAAUUUUGGUAGUUGCUAGGCAGGGGCUGCUUCUGCGACCAGCCCCUAGUAAAAACCUUGGGUGCUGAGUCUCUUUAAUGGGCUUCCCUGCGGCAGAAGCACUGCACAUGUGUGGUGGCAGUUUUUCUGCUGGAGAAGGGAAGACACUCAUGUAUCCCUGUUAGGCUGGGCGGGAGAGAGCCUCUGAAGCUUAUGCGUGCAUUUCUCCAGAUUCUGCCCUUGUCUUUUUCUCUUGCUGGUCUUGUUGUGUACCCUUUGCCGUGAUAAACCUAAGCCACGAGGACAACUGUAUGCUGUCCUGUGAGUCAUCUCAGCGAAUUGCCGAAUGUGUGGGUAAUCUUGGGGACACGCAAAACAGCAUGUUGAGCUGCUAUUUGUCUCAUUUAUGUUGUGCCAUCUUCCCCUCUGCUUUAGAGGAAAAACAUAAAUAUAAAAGGACUAUUAUAUUUACAUUAAAUAUUUCCAGGUCACAAGACAUUAAAAAACAGUUUUUAUUCGUCUUCCUCAAGCAACAAGAAAGUAGUUUUUGAAAGCCACCAAAAACUAAGCUCCCUUAUUUAGACCAAAUUAGUGAUUGGAUUUUUUUUUCUGAUUCUUACAAUAGAGUCUUUCUUCCUUCCCUCACGCUAUGGAGGCAAGCUGUUUGGGCUAGUUCAUAAGUAAAUAGGUCAUAAACUGCACUCCAUUCAAAAGUGACGUACUUAUGAAAGCAUUUAUUUGUCCUACAGAGAGAGCACUAGCUCAUUUCAAAUAUUGUUCUCAGCCCAGAUCAGAAUGCUAAAGAGCACACAUUGCACAUUUUGUUUUAAACACAAUAGUUUGUUUGUUUUUUGAUGGUGCCAUAAAUAUUUCCCUGGGAAAGCACUACCAAAUAGGUAAGACUUUUAGACUGUGUGGGAUCAUAGACCUAAAUGUAAGAGCUAAAACCAGAACUCUCAGAAGAUGACAUAGGAGUAAAUCUUGGUAAAGGAGUAAAUCAUGACCUUGGGUUGGGCAAUGGUUCCUUUGAUACAACACCAAAAGUACAAGCGACAGGAUAGAUAAAUUGGGCUAUCUCAAAAUUUUAAAACUUUAGUGCUAUAAACAAUACUAUCAAGAAGAUUAAAAGACAACCCAUUGAGUGCAGAAAAUAUUUGUAUAAUAAGACGUAUAUCUGAUAAGAGUCGGUGUCCAGAUAUAUGAAUAACUUUUACAACUCAACAAUAGAAAGACAAAUAGCCCAGUUAAAACUGGGCAAAGGAUUUGAACAGACAUUUUUCCAAAGAAGGUAUACAAAUGGCCAAUAAAUACAUGAAAAAGAUGUUCAACAUCCUUAGUCAUUAGGGCAAUACAAGUGAAGACCACAGUGAGAUACCACAUCACAUCUACUAGGAUGGCUAUAAUAGAAAAGGCAGACAAUAACAAGCAUUGAUGAGAAUGUGAAGAAAACAGUCCAGCAGUUCCUCAAAAUAUUGAGCCUAGAGUAUUCAUAUGACCCAGGAAUUCCAUUCCUAGGUAUAUACCCAAGAGAAAUGAAAACAUGGUCCUCAUGAAAACUUGUACACACAUGUCCAUAGCGUCAUUAUUCAUAACAGCCAAACAGUGGAAACAACUGAAUGUCCAUCAACAGAUGAAUAGGUAAACAAAAUGUAUUUUCACACAAUGGAAUAUUAUUCAGCCAUGGAAAGGAAUGACGUACUGAUAAAUGCUACAUCGAUGACACUUUAAAACCUUAUGCUAAGUGAAAGAAACCAGUCACAUAUUGUAUUGUAAGACCACAUAUGGUAUGAUUCCAUUUACUUGAGAUGUCUAGAAUAGGCAAAUCCAUAGAGACAGAAAGUAGAUUAGUGGUUGCUUAGGGCUGUGCACGGUGGGAGUGGAGUUGAGUGUUAUCAGUCAGGGUUCAACUAGAGAAACAGAACAAGUAGGAGAUAUAUACUGAGAGGUUUAUUGCAAGGAAUUUGCUUAGGUGAUUGUGGGGGUUAGCUAGGCAAGUCCAGAAUCCAUAGGACAGAGCAUCAGGAAGGGCAGGCUUCUCAGGUGUGAGCUGAAGCUAUAGUCCAUAAGUGGAAUUUCUUCUUCAGGGAAACCUCAGUUCUGCUUUUAGGCCUUUCAGCUGAUUGAAUCAGGCCCACUUAGAUUUAAGUCAACUGAUUAUGGACUUAAUCACAUCUAGAAAAUAACUUUCACAGCAGUACCUAGAUUAGUGUUUGAUUGGACACCUAGGGACUGUAGUCUAGACAAGUUGAUACAUAAAACUGACCAUCAUGGGCAGGGGCAUGGAGGGAAAGUGACUGCUAAUGGUUUUCUUUUUGAGGUAAUGAAUAUGUUCUAAAAUUGAGGUGAUGGUUGUACAACUCUGAAUAUAUGGAAAACUAUUGAAUUGUACACUUUAAAUGGGAGAAUUGUAUGGUUUGUGAAUUAUAUCUCAAUAAAGAUGUUUUUU